CGCUGGCGGCGUGCCUAACACAUGCAAGUCGAGCGAAGAUUAUAGCAAUGUAAUCUUAGCGGCGGACGGGUGAGUAACGCGUGGGCAACCUACCUCAAACUGGGGGAUAACACAGGGAAACUUGUGCUAAUACCGCAUAACAUCAUGAAAUGACAUCAUUUUAUGAUCAAAGGAGCAAUCCGGUGAGAGAUGGGCCCGCGUCCAAUUAGCUAGUUGGUGGUGUAACGGACCACCAAGGCGACGAUUGGUAGCCGAACUGAGAGGUUGAUCGGCCACAUUGGGACUGAGACACGGCCCAGACUCCUACGGGAGGCAGCAGUGGGGAAUAUUGCGCAAUGGGGGAAACCCUGACGCCAGCAACGCCGCGUGAAGGAUGAAGGUUUUCGGAUCGUAAACUUCUUUGAUGAGGGACGAAAGCAAUGACGGUACCUCAAAAACAAGCCACGGCUAACUACGUGCCAGCCGCUGC
rnacentral:rRNA from 1 species